UGCCUCAAAGCAGUUUAUAGUAAUGUAAAGAACCCUGCUCUGCUUUGUAGAGUUUGUAACAGUUUCAGGAAAGGAUGGCCUUCUCUCCUUACCUUGUUUUUAUUCCCCUGUUAGAUCUGAUCAGUCGUUUUGUGUCAGCACAAAGCGAUGGAUGCUGGAACACCUUGCACAGGAUGGGUGAGUCAUGUGUUCAAGGACUUGGGCGCUUCGCUGUUGUGGGAACAUUUCCAUUUUCUGAUUUCCAUGAAGCCACAGAACAAACUAAAAUGGCCUCCCUGAUUCAACAUUGCAGAAGGAGAUGGUUGCGCUGCUAAAAUACGCUUAGUGCUCCAUUUUACCUGCGGCUACGAACGACAAAGAGGCAACACACAGAAGUACACAGCAGGUGUGGGAACGGAAACCGGGAUCAAAACUUUUAUUUGUUUCUUGGGUGUGUCUAAUGAAGCCAAGUACAUUUUGUGACCAGUAAUAACUGACUUACAACAUUCAUAUGCAUCUGGAAGUUUUACAAAAGAAAAAGAAACAGAAAAACUUGUGGUUUAAUUUUUGCAUUCAUGGUCUGAAACAAACUCUAUUUAUGGAAAACGAAUUGGGCAUGAUCUUACCCCCUUUAGAGGUAGUGCCUCUUCCUCUUAUGAGGCCCCAGCUUGCAGAAGUGGGUUCUGAAACAAUAUAUUUCAGCAUUUUAAUAAGGGUGUGGUCAAUGUUUUGUUUUGUUUUUUUUUUUUCCAUAUUUGACUUUCAAAUAAAAAAAACAAACUUCUAAAACAAGCUAUUGAAUUUACUUAUCUACUUUUAAAGAUACUGUAAAGUGGAACCUUUUCUACGACGUCUCAAAUGUCUUUGUUCAGGGCUAGUAAACGCUUAUUGACUAGAGAUGGUUUUAAUUUACUCCUACUUUUACUGUUACACCAUGUACAAAUGUCUUGUGCAUAAAUAAUUGUGGGCAUCUGACUAAACUAGUGCAAAAUUGGGGAAAGCUUUGACAUCAUAAGAAACUCAGAAACUUGCUCUCUUGGCUUGAGGGUCCCAGUAAGUCCUUAACUUGUUUAUGACUUCUAAAACCUAAUAAAGAACCGGUUUAAAGUAGAAGAAUACGUGACCUCAUUACAAGCAUUUUCUGUUGAUCUCAUUCGAACGGGUUAUACAUUUCAGCCUUUGUCUGCCCUCUAGAGGCGCUAAA